GACGAACGCUGGCGGCGUGCUUAACACAUGCAAGUCGAACGGAAAGGCCCUGCUUGCAGGGUGCUCGAGUGGCGAACGGGUGAGUAACACGUGGGUGAUCUGCCCCUUACUUUGGGAUAAGCCUGGGAAACUGGGUCUAAUACUGGAUAGGACCAUGCUGUAGGUGGUGUGGUGGAAAGAUUAGUUUCGGUAAGGGAUGAGCUCGCGGCCUAUCAGCUUGUUGGUGGGGUAAUGGCCUACCAAGGCGUCGACGGGUAGCCGGCCUGAGAGGGUGGACGGCCACAUUGGGACUGCGAUGCGGCGCAGACGCCUACGGGAGGCAGCAGUGGGGGAUAGUGCACAAUGGGCGCAAGCCUGAUGCAGCGACGCCGCGUGGGGGGUGACGGCCUUCGGGUUGUAAACACCUUUCAGCCAUGACGAAGCCCUUGUGGUGACGGUAGUGGUAGAAGAAGCACCGGCUAACUACGUG
rnacentral:rRNA from 1 species